rnacentral:rRNA from 1 species
UACGAAGGGGGCGAGCGUUGUUCGGAUUUACUGGGCGUAAAGGGCGCGCAGGCGGUCUUGAAAGUCAGGCGUGAAAGCCCGGGCUUAACCUGGGAAUUGCGCUUGAUACUCUGAGACUGGAGUACGGGAGAGGAGAGUGGAAUUCCCAGUGUAGAGGUGAAAUUCGUAGAUAUUGGGAAGAACACCAGUGGCGAAGGCGGCUCUCUGGACCGUAACUGACGCUGAGGCGCGAAAGCGUGGGGAGCAAACAGG